rnacentral:rRNA from 1 species
CAGUCGAGCGCCCAGCAUGGGAGCGGCAGANGGGUGAGUAACACGUGGGGAUGUGCCCAAAGGUACGGAAUAGCUCCGGGAAACUGGAAUUAAUACCGUAUGUGCCCUUCGGGGGAAAGAUUUAUCGCCUUUGGAUCAACCCGCGUCUGAUUAGCUAGUUGGUGAGGUAAAGGCUCACCAAGGCGACGAUCAGUAGCUGGUCUGAGAGGAUGAUCAGCCACACUGGGACUGAGACACGGCCCAGACUCCUACGGGAGGCAGCAGUGGGGAAUAUUGGACAAUGGGCGCAAGCCUGAUCCAGCCAUGCCGCGUGAGUGAUGAAGGCCUUAGGGUUGUAAAGCUCUUUCGCCGGUGAAGAUAAUGACGGUAACCGGAGAAGAAGCCCCGGCUAACUUCGUGCCAGCAGCCGCGGUAAUACGAAGGGGGCUAGCGUUGCUCGGAAUCACUGGGCGUAAAGCGCACGUAGGCGGGUCGUUAAGUCAGGGGUGAAAUCCUGGAGCUCAACUCCAGAACUGCCCUUGAUACUGGCGAUCUUGAGUUCGAGAGAGGUUGGUGGAACUGCGAGUGUAGAGGUGAAAUUCGUAGAUAUUCGCAAGAACACCAGUGGCGAAGGCGGCCAACUGGCUCGAUACUGA